AGUCGAACGAUGAAGCCCAGCUUGCUGGGUGGAUUAGUGGCGAACGGGUGAGUAACACGUGAGCAACCUGCCCCUGACUCUGGGAUAAGCGCUGGAAACGGCGUCUAAUACUGGAUAUGUCCCGUCACCGCAUGGUGUGCGGGUGGAAAGAUUUUUCGGUUGGGGAUGGGCUCGCGGCCUAUCAGCUUGUUGGUGAGGUAAUGGCUCACCAAGGCGUCGACGGGUAGCCGGCCUGAGAGGGUGACCGGCCACACUGGGACUGAGACACGGCCCAGACUCCUACGGGAGGCAGCAGUGGGGAAUAUUGCACAAUGGGCGGAAGCCUGAUGCAGCAACGCCGCGUGAGGGAUGACGGCCUUCGGGUUGUAAACCUCUUUUAGCAGGGAAGAAGCGAAAGUGACGGUACCUGCAGAAAAAGCACCGGCUAACUACGUGCCAGCAGCCGCGGUAAUACGUAGGGUGCAAGCGUUAUCCGGAAUUAUUGGGCGUAAAGAGCUCGUAGGCGGUCUGUCGCGUCUGCUGUGAAAUUCCGAGGCUCAACCUCGGGCUUGCAGUGGGUACGGGCAGACUAGAGUGCGGUAGGGGAGAUUGGAAUUCCUGGUGUAGCGGUGGAAUGCGCAGAUAUCAGGAGGAACACCGAUGGCGAAGGCAGAUCUCUGGGCCGUAACUGACGCUGAGGAGCGAAAGGGUGGGGAGCAAACAGGCUUAGAUACCCUGGUAGUCCACCCCGUAAACGUUGGGAACUAGUUGUGGGGUCCUUUCCACGGAUUCCGUGACGCAGCUACGCAUUAAGUUCCCCGCCUGGGGAGUACGGCGCAAGCU
rnacentral:rRNA from 1 species